rnacentral:rRNA from 1 species
AGAGUUUGAUCCUGGCUCAGGACGAACGCUGGCGGUGUGCUUCACACAUGCAAGUCGAGCGAAUGAAGAAGGUAACUUGCUACUUUUGGAUUUAGCGGCGGACGGGUGAGUAAUAUAUAGGAAUCUGCCCUAGAGCGGGGAACAACAGACCGAAAGGUUUGCUAAUGCCCCAUAGGUACGCAGUCUUCGGAUUGUUUAUUAAAGGAGUAAUCCACUCUAGGAUGAGCCUGUAUCCGAUUAGCUAGUUGGCGGGGUAAAGGCCCACCAAGGCUACGAUCGGUAGUUGGUCUGAGAGGAUGAUCAGCCACAAUGGGACUGAGACACGGCCCAUACUCCUACGGGAGGCAGCAGUGGGGAAUUUUACACAAUGGGGGAAACCCUGAUGUAGCGACACCGCGUGAACGAAGAAGCCUUUUGGGGUGUAAAGUUCUGUCGGCUGGAACGAAAAAAAUGACGGUACCAGCAAAGGAAGCAUCGGCUAACUACGUGCCAGCAGCCGCGGUAAGACGUAGGAUGCAAGCGUUGUCCGGAUUUAUUGGGCGUAAAGAGUUCGUAGGCGGUUAUUUAAGUCUGGUGUUAAAUACUGUGGCCCAACCACAGAACUGCAUUGGAUACUGGAUGACUUGAGUGCGGUAGAGGCGAGUGGAAUUCCCAGUGUAGCGGUGAAAUGCGU